rnacentral:rRNA from 1 species
GGGUCAGUAGGUUGGUCGUGCCACCGGUACGUACUGGUCUCACUGAUUCCUCCUUCCUGAAGAAACGUAAUGCCAUUAAUUUGGUGUUGCGGGGAAACAGGACUGUUACAUUGAAAAAAUUAGAGUGUUUAAAGCAAGCUAACGCUUGAAUACAUUAGCAUGGAAUAAUGAAAUAGGACGAUCGAUCCAAUUUUGUUGGUUUCUAGGAUUGACGUA